GUCUCACCUCCCACUCCUUCCCUAAAAGCGACCAAAGAUUCCCAGCACCUCUUUUUCCCGGGCUGGGAGACCAAAAGCCAAAGGGAGGACCAAGGAAAGGCCAAAAUUCCGCAUGGAGGCUCCCGCCUGGCCUCCCAUCAGUGGGAGCUGCUGUGACAAGGGAGGCUCCUGGCACAGCCUGGCAGUGGCAACACCUCCGUGGGGCAUUUGCCUGGAAAAAUACAUGGGUUUAGUGCUUGUUUACAUGGACUUGCCGGGAAAAGCAGGUUUUGUUAUGUUAACAUCAGUAUGUUGUUAGGAGACAGAAUUUUUCACCCAUCUUAAGGCUUUUUAUUGCUCCCUAUCUGGAGUUUCUGAAUACAUUCCCUACAUGAUGGAUUGGCAGGAGAUUUUUGUGGAGUUUCUGGCUCUAUUAUCCAGCAGUGAACUCUCACAGAAAGUAAUUUGAAAUUCAUGAUGCUGACUAUCAUAUCAGGAUGUGGCUCUGUGAGCUAUGUUUCUUCAGAUCACUUUUCUUCUGUUAUGAAUAAAAAAACUUACCAGCGGAAAGAAAAUGUUUGUAGGAAUAAAUAUUCUUGGAAUGGACUAAAUUAAUGACUAAAAGUGAUCAGUGCAGUUCAACUGUAAGCUGCUCACAAAUAAGUUGCCACAAAGUGAAAUAGUUAUCGUUGUUUCUGUGAAAUAUAUCUAAUUGGGCUCUUGUUAGAAUAGGAAUGCCUAAAUUGUAUAGCUCAUUGGAAUGAAAUCCAAAUCCCAUCUUCAUCACAUUCUGCAUUAUCUUGCAUUUCAUAUGCUCUGUAUUUUUACUACAAAACUAUCUAAAUAUUCUAAAUAUCUAAAAAGACUUAAUAAUAAAGUAAAAAUCUUUUCAUUUGAAAACAGGCCACAGAAAAUCCUCACCUCACAAAUAUUUGCUUCUGUUCUCGCUCAUAAGCAAUGCCAUUUGUUUUAAAUCUUUGUGGUAAGUGCUGAAAGCUGAGCAGGUCUAUGCAAUCCAUUUGCAAACUUGAGCCCUAAAGAAAGAAGUACAGAAGCAGAAGUUUUUUUACUGAUAAACUUUAGAUUCCUCUAAACCAACUUCAGAACUCUUUUGUUAAUGUAAAUGAAAAUUUCAGUUGUUUUAUUACAUUGUAUAAGGGGCUUUAUAUGAUAUCUGGAUAGGUUUUGGAGUCAAGAAACUACAAAAUGGUACAGAAAAAUACAUCAAAAACAUCUGAAGCCUGAGAAAUUGUGGAACACCUUUGAAAUACCCAAAAGAUAAGGGCUGCUCCGACUUCUUUCUGGACUCUCAUUACGUCACUGCUGGAAAGAGCUCAGUGAAUAAUCUGAUCAGGUUUUCCAUUGAAUUCCACUUCCUUGCUUUGCUGGCUCAAAAGGAUGGGCAGCAAGUGGGGAUUCAUGCCAAGGCAGGAUGGGGCACAGGAAUGCCGCUGAAUGCAUGUGGGAUCAUCCUUAGCCCACUCCAAAUCCUUGGAACACAUUCUUAAGGCACCGACCAACAAAAUGCCAAUGUGAAAAUGUGGGAAGUGGCUGAUGAAGAGCACCUGUGCAGAAUGCCUGGAUUUGGAGCUGAGGAGGCUGAAAUGGGCUCCUGUGCACUGGGAAGCAGGACUGGAGCUGCUGCAUCCAUGGGAUUGUUCUGGCAGCUCCUCUGGGUCGGGCUGGUCCACGCAGGGUGUCCUUUGUGCCCAUCCCUGCCACAGUAAGUGAUAUUUAAUCUGUGCACACUGGGGAGCAGGGCUGUGCCCAAGGGUACUGAAGCAGUUGCACAGCAUUGCAAACAUCCCCAAAUGUUUUCCCUCUCUCUUUUGAGCCUGUGGGAUCAGCCCAUGAAGAACAGACAGCAGAAAGGAACACACCUCUCCCUUUACUCUCCAUCUGGGUGCUCACUCUCAGUUUGUGUCCAUCACAACACAUCACCCUGACACAUGCAAAGGAAAACAUGACGUGCUUUUCCCACAUUUAUAAAGUUUUCUUUAUGAACAUGGAGCUAUUUCUAUCCAUGGACAUGCAGCAAGGUUUAGAGGCUCAGGUUAUUUUCCUGGAUUUACCUCAGUCCUGCACAAGGCCCUGACCAGAGUUACAACUCCAUGGCUCCUCAAUUACAGUGGGAUGGAGAAUGUGUCCUUAUCAAUCUUCUGAGAUUUCAGCAUUUAUUUGUACUUGUUCACUCAGAAUCUGCCUGUUCUGAAGUUCAGACUAACGAGUUCAGUUCUCUGAAAAGGAGCAGAUUCCAUCCUAUUGAUUUCAGUUCUUUGUGGCAACUAGCCCUGUAACAUUGAUUUCUGACAAAGCACUGAGCUGAAUAAUGGAUGUUGGCACCCUCAGUUCUGGCUGAAGUCUUGGGCUUACUGAUAGAAAUCUCUCCAAGUCAGGAGACCUUUUUUUCCUUUCCAAAUGGAUGGAUAUGUGUAGGUAGGGACUUCAAAUAUUUAAUCCAAAUAGGCUGUUUAGAACUAGCCAGGAGGAGUCACUGAGCACCUGCCAGGCUCAGAACAUGCAGAGCUGAACUGGCAACAUUUAAGAUGAAUCUAAGGGAGAUUCAGGCACCAGAAGGGAUGAUGAAAAUAAAUAUCUGUAUUUCUUUAGAAGAGCCAUGUAUUUUAAAAAAUCCUCCAACAAGUGAUGCCAUGUUAGAAAUGCUGCUGCAAUGAGAUUUUAUGUCCUAUCCUAGUGGUUACAAUCUUCACUCUGUGGAAUGGGACAUUUGUAUUUAAUUCUCCUUACUGCAGCAAUGAAAGUUUCUCCAUGGGAAGAGCUCCUCAAGCUUUGUUGCUGUGCAGAAUUAGGGCAAAAUGUGUAAAGAGGAGGACAGUGCUGAUGCAACCCAAGGGUGUCUUCCUGGGAGGCAGUUUCUAUGGUUCUACCACACCUGAUUGCCAUACAGCCCUGGCUGUACCCUGCUGUAGAGCUUUUUAUAUUAGAGUUGAAAACUCAAGUUUCACAUUUCACAGAACACAGUAACCACAAGGCUACAAAGCCACACUUCUUUUAAUCUCUCAAGUGUGUGUAGCUUUCUUUUUCAUUAAAAUAAAGUAGAUUUAAGAGAUGGAGUGUCUGCCUCUUCCUUCCAAUCCAUCCAGGGAUGGAGCAUUGAUUAUGAUGAUAGUGAAAGACACAAUUUCCAUGUAGAGAAACCAUAUGUGGUUCUCUGCUGGUUUGUGAAAUUUGAGUAUUGCACAAGAACUCAGAAAUUCCUUGCACAAUCUGGGCUGGUAACAGCAUUGCAGAGAACUUGUAGUUUAAAUCUUCUGAAUAUUGGAAGGCUUUGAGAUAGAAAUGUCUUGUCACAAAUCGUUUGCCUUGGGUUUUGAGUUUAGUCCAGGUGAGAUCAGUAGAGAUGCAUAACCCUGUUGCCAUCCCCUGCCCUUCACCAUGGAAAGCAGAGUGGGAGCAGCUGGUGGCGUUUGGAGUGUCACCUGUGUGGGACAGGGCUGAGCUUUCCUUUUAGAAAGCUGAGGGAGCAAAGCAUGUGGUCUCUUGUGGAGGUCUGUCCAUGAAGAAAGGAUCUCCCUCAGGGAAAUAAAUAACAAAGCAAGGAGUUAAAGUCCCUUAACAAGGGAAAGCAGUCUCUUGUGCAAUCUUUAUGAAGACCAGAUACAACCUGAGGAAGGUCAGAUUUUACCCACACUUCAGCACAAUUUGGCAAAUCAGAUACUGGAGUCAUCCCCCAGAAUAAACUGAAAUACCUGAAGAGAUCCAAGAUUUUCUACAAGUGUGAAGUAUAAUGAUUCCAAAAGCAUUGAUUCUCUGCACAUCAGUACAGGUUAAAUACCGAUGUGACCCCAGGACAUCCUAUUUUCACUAGUUCUAUCCAUUUUAAUUUCAUGUAUCUGCUCCCAGAUUAUGCCUUUGACAGGUAAAGGAGCUGUGGAACACAGAUUAACUUGGCAUGUGUGAUGUUUCUGGAAGCUGCAGCACCACCAGGAGAGAGGGAAGGGGCUGUGCCCAGGCUGCAGCUCCAUCCGGAACAUGGUUGGGAUGGAUCCCUGUGGCAUGGUGUCCUAGGUUGGGGCAAACCAGAGCACACCAAGUUUAGGUCAUAAUGUCCUGAGGAAGAGCUCUUGGUACAACAAGGGAAUGUUAAAAUGUGUGAAUCCUCCUGUGAGAGAGCCCAGUGUGGCAACAGGAAUGCUGGCUCAGGACAUUUGGGAUCUUUAACAACUCUUCCCUUGAGUGCUGUGAGUUUUAAAAAAUAAUUAAAAGCCAGCUUUGAUCUGUGCAUCCUUAAUGACUAAAGGAUAGAAAAGAUAUCAAACAAUGUUACUUGACUCACAGAGCAGGGAAGAUUUUCCUGUAGCUGGAGCUGGGUAACUUGGAAAGAUCUUUGUUUUUAAUGGUAACAGCAGCAAUUCAUUUAAGCUGCUUAUUGUGCUCUGGUGUUAUUCCUGUAAAUAUAGCAGGGAGAAUGUGUUAAAUGUUGAAAAGUCUCAUCAGGAAAGGAAUCCUGUGGGAUCUGAAGCCUUCCUUGCCUGUUGCACACUCGAAGCACACAUUGAAAUGGGGUUUCCAGCCUGAACACGCGUUCCAGACACUCAGAGUUCUGGAAAUGCCGCAGCGCACUUCCUGCUCCCAAACAUACCUCACUAAAGUUGGCUCAAGAUGUUUUGGCAGGAUUGCUUUAACCUCAGAGAAGUCUGAAUUUGGCUUUGAAGGAUGAAAGAGAUGGAAAUGGAAAGGUUUCAGAAAAUGGUGAGGGCUUCUUAUGUUCUUAAUCAGCUGAAUGCUGCAUGUGGUGGUUAAUGCUUUUGAUUUUUUGGCUUUCCCCUUUUGUCCCUGUUCCUUACAGAAUGACAGACAACUCAUUCUGACAGGGAAAAGAAUGUUUCUAAAAAUCACUGUUCUAUGUAAUUUUAGCCACUGUUUGAAAAUUGCAUUCUGAAAAUUUUUAAAGUUCUUUUACAAACUUUUAUUUCCUAAACUGUGCUUUUUAACCAUUAAGAAGUGUUGAAGCAAAGAAUUCCUUGGAAUGCAAUAGUUUUGGAGUAGGCAGGAGAUGGAAACAUGUGAAGCAUUUUCAGAUUAAAUUCUCUGUUGACAGCUCCAAAUAUUUUCUUAAUUUGUGUGUUUUUGUGUGUUUAAACCGGAAUAUUUUAUAUAUUAUUUGGUUGUGAUUGUGUUGCUUUUGUUUGUGGCACCUAAUAGUGAUUAAAAAAAAACAAAAAACAAACCCUAAACCCUAUUUUUCUCAGUUUCUGUGAAGAUAAAGGUGAUUUAAAUAUAAUCUACCUUCUAAGUCAUGGUUAAGUGAUGAAUGUGUCUCAAGAGUGUGAGUAGCUCAUUAUUAGUAAUGGUUUGAAAUCUUUGUUCCAACUCAUAGAUCAUAACCCAUCCUGUUCCCCACCUUAUCUGACACCCCACUCCUGCCACAGGUUAGAAACUCUAUAUUAACAAAGAUAGGUCCUUCCGGCUCAGAAAUUCCUUUUACUUGUUGUAUUUCUGAAUUGGUUUCAUUUAGUUUUAUGUUAUUUUUCAAUUUAUGACCUUCUGUUCUGUUUCCUUCUAUGGCUGUGUCCCUGUAAGGCUUUGUCAGAACUUGCGUAGUGCUGGGUACACAGUGAGCACAUGUGGGCAGCACAGGAAGGAAAGGAAAAUAUAAAGAUAGUUGUAAUUUGAGGCAUAGUCUCUCAUAAAGAACUCUUGCAGCAAAGUUGAGAGGGGGACUGUAAAUAUCCCAUAGUUCUUUAUCCUGGUCUUGUCUUGCUUCUCAUACUCCUUUGCCUUGCCCCCACUCAUGUCUCAGCCUCACUAAAACUUCUUGUAAAUCAAACCCACAACAAAAGUUAAUUCCUCUGUCCAUGUUUCCUGCCUGAGGGCAGUGGCACCAAACAUGAUCUGUGAAAUAUCGUCAGCUUUUAGCUCCAUGGUAGGUCCAUGAGAUCAUCCUGGGGAGAAGCCAGGGAAUAUCUGUGAAGAGUCAGGGAGGUACUGACGAGUGAAAGAACACCCAGACGUGACAGAACUGCAAUAUGUGAGCCUGGAUUCCUCCUCCUUGGCUCGUGGAUGACUCCAAGCUGACAGAAGUUUCAUGGCAAAAGCUUUCAAGGAGAAACCAGCACAAGAGACAGCUCAGCUGCUGAGAAGCUGCAAGGGCACCUGGUGCAAAGGACAGAGAAUGGUCCAAAUGUAAGGAUCUGGUAAAUUUUCAAAAUAUUUUUAUUGUCUCCAGGCUCAUUAACUGUCAGCUAUUGUAAACAAGAGCUGUUGAUUGCUGAGUAUUUUCAAAAUCUGUCCAACAUGGUUUAGGUGCUCCAAUAAAGCCCUUUGAAAAUCCA